UAGCGCAAACCAUACUCCCCCCGGAACCCAAAGACUUUGGUUUCCCGGAAGCUCCCCGGUGGGUCAUGGGAAUAACGCCGCCGGAUCGCUAGUCGGCAUCGUUUAUGGUCGGAACUAUGACGGUAUCUGAUCAUCUUCGAACCUCCGACUUUCAUUCUUGAUU